UGGGGAAUAUUGGACAAUGGGGGCAACCCUGAUCCAGCGAUGCCGCGUGGGUGAAGAAGGCCUUCGGGUUGUAAAGCCCUUUAGGUUGGGAAGAAGGAUAUAAGUUGAAUAAACUUAUAUUUUGACGGUACCGACAGAAUAAGCACCGGCAAACUCUGUGCCAGCAGCCGCGGUAAUACAGAGGGUGCGAGCGUUAAUCGGAGUUACUGGGCGUAAAGGGCGCGUAGGCGGUGAUUCAAGUGUGAUGUGAAAGCCCUGGGCUUAACCUAGGAAGUGCAUCGUAGACUGAAUGACUGGAGUAUAUGAGAGGGUGGCGGAAUUUCCGGUGUAGCGGUGAAAUGCGUAGAGAUCGGAAGGAACGUCAAUGGCGAAGGCAGCCACCUGGCAUAAUACUGACGCUGAGGCGCGAAAGCGUGGGGAGCGAACAGGAUUAGAUACCCCCGUAGUCC
rnacentral:rRNA from 1 species